rnacentral:rRNA from 2 species
GAGUAACGCGUGGGAACAUACCCUUUCCUGCGGAAUAGCUCCGGGAAACUGGAAUUAAUACCGCAUACGCCCUACGGGGGAAAGAUUUAUCGGGGAAGGAUUGGCCCGCGUUGGAUUAGCUAGUUGGUGGGGUAAAGGCCUACCAAGGCGACGAUCCAUAGCUGGUCUGAGAGGAUGAUCAGCCACAUUGGGACUGAGACACGGUCCAAACUCCUACGGGAGGCAGCAGUGGGGAAUAUUGGACAAUGGGCGCAAGCCUGAUCCAGCCAUGCCGCGUGAGUGAUGAAGGCCUUAGGGUUGUAAAGCUCUUUCACCGGAGAAGAUAAUGACGGUAUCCGGAGAAGAAGCCCCGGCUAACUUCGUGCCAGCAGCCGCGGUAAUACGAAGGGGGCUAGCGUUGUUCGUAUUUACUGGGCGUAAAGCGCACGUAGGCGGAUAUUUAAGUCAGGGGGUGAAAUCCCAGAGCUCAACUCUGGAACUGCCUUUGAUACUGGGUAUCUUGAGUAUGGAAGAGGUAAGUGGAAUUCCGAGUGUAGAGGUGAAAUUCGUAGAUAUUCGGAGGACCACCAGUGGCGAAGGCGGCUUACUGUCCAUUACUGACGCUGAGGUGCGAAAGCGGGGGGAGCAAACAGGAUUAGAUACCCUGCUAGUCCACGCCGUAACGAUGAAUGUUAGCCGUCGGGCAGUAUACUGUCGGUGGCGCAGCUAACGCAUAAACAUUCC